rnacentral:rRNA from 1 species
AGCCGCGGUAAUACGGAGGAUCCAAGCGUUAUCCGGAUUUAUUGGGUUUAAAGGGAGCGUAGGCGGAUUAUUAAGUCAGUUGUGAAAGUUUGCGGCUCAACCGUAAAAUUGCAGUUGAUACUGGUAGUCUUGAGUGCAGCAGAGGUAGGCGGAAUUCGUGGUGUAGCGGUGAAAUGCUUAGAUAUCACGAAGAACUCCGAUUGCGAAGGCAGCUUACUGGACUGUAACUGACGCUGAUGCUCGAAAGUGUGGGUAUCAAACAGGAUUAGAUACCCUGGUAGUCCACACAGUAAACGAUGAAUACUCGCUGUUUGCGAUAUACAGCAAGCGGCCAAGCGAAAGCAUUAAGUAUUCCACCUGGGGAGUACGCCGGCAACGGUGAAACUCAAAGGAAUUGACGGGGGCCCGCACAAGCGGAGGAACAUGUGGUUUAAUUCGAUGAUACGCGAGGAACCUUACCCGGGCUUAAAUUGCAACUGACGGAUUUGGAAACAGAUCUUCCUUCGGGCAGUUGUGAAGGUGCUGCAUGGUUGUCGUCAGCUCGUGCCGUGAGGUGUCGGCUUAAGUGCCAUAACGAGCGCAACCCUUAUCUUUAGUUACUAACAGGUCAUGCUGAGGACUCUAGAGAGACUGCCGUCGUAAGAUGUGAGGAAGGUGGGGAUGACGUCAAAUCAGCACGGCCCUUACGUCCGGGGCUACACACGUGUUACAAUGGGGGGUACAGAAGGCAGCUACACAGCGAUGUGAUGCUAAUCCCAAAAGCCUCUCUCAGUUCGGAUUGGAGUCUGCAACCCGACUCCAUGAAGCUGGAUUCGCUAGUAAUCGCGCAUCAGCCACGGCGCGGUGAAUACGUUCCCGGGCCUUGUACACACCGCCCGUCAAGCCAUGAAAGCCGGGGGUACCUGAAGUACGUAACCGCAAGGAGCGUCCUAGGGUAAAACUGGUAAUUGGGGCUAAGUCGUAACAAGGUAGCCGUACCGGAAGGUGCGGCUG